UACGUAGGGGGGCAAGCGUUGUCCGGAGUUACUGGGCGUAAAGCGCACGCAGGCGGUCUACCAAGUUUGGAGUGACAGUUGUUGGCUCAACCAACAAAGUGCUUUGAAAAACUGGUGGACUUGAGGGCUUCAGAGGGACACGGAAUUCCGGGUGGAGUGGUGGAAAUGCGUAGAGAUCCGGAGGAACACCGAAGGCGAAGGCAGUGUCCUGGGGAGUACCUGACGCUCAGGUGCGAAAGCCAGGGAGCGAACGGGG
rnacentral:rRNA from 1 species